CGUACGGGACAACAUUCCGAAAGGAGUGCUAAUACCGGAUGUGAUCAUCGUGCCGCAUGGCAGGAUGAAGAAAGAUGGCCUCUACAAGUAAGCUAUCGCUAAAGGAUGGGCCUGCGUCUGAUUAGCUAGUUGGUAGUGUAACGGACUACCAAGGCGAUGAUCAGUAGCCGGUCUGAGAGGAUGAACGGCCACAUUGGGACUGAGACACGGCCCAG
rnacentral:rRNA from 1 species